UGUGUUAGUGGAAGCGUCUGGAAAGGCGCGCGAUACAGGGUGACAGCCCCGUACACAAAAAUGCACAUGCUGUGAGCUCGAUGAGUAGGGCGGGACACGUGGUAUCCUGUCUGAAUAUGGGGGGACCAUCCUCCAAGGCUAAAUACUCCUGACUGACCGAUAGUGAACCAGUACCGUGAGGGAAAGGCGAAAAGAACCCCGGCGAGGGGAGUGAAAAAGAACCUGAAACCGUGUACGUACAAGCAGUGGGAGCACAGAGCAAUCUGUGUGACUGCGUACCUUUUGUAUAAUGGGUCAGCGACUUAUAUUCUGUAGCAAGGUUAACCGAAUAGGGGAGCCGAAGGGAAACCGAGUCUUAACUGGGCGUUAAGUUGCAGGGUAUAGACCCGAAACCCGGUGAUCUAGCCAUGGGCAGGUUGAAGGUUGGGUAACACUAACUGGAGGACCGAACCGACUAAUGUUGAAAAAUUAGCGGAUGACUUGUGGCUGGGGGUGAAAGGCCAAUCAAACCGGGAGAUAGCUGGUUCUCCCCGAAAGCUAUUUAGGUAGCGCCUCGUGAAUUCAUCUCCGGGGGUAGAGCACUGUUUCGGCAAGGGGGUCAUCCCGACUUACCAACCCGAUGCAAACUGCGAAUACCGGAGAAUGUUAUCACGGGAGACACACGGCGGGUGCUAACGUCCGUCGUGAAGAGGGAAACAACCCAGACCGCCAGCUAAGGUCCCAAAGUCAUGGUUAAGUGGGAAACGAUGUGGGAAGGCCCAGACAGCCAGGAUGUUGGCUUAGAAGCAGCCAUCAUUUAAAGAAAGCGUAAUAGCUCACUGGUCGAGUCGGCCUGCGCGGAAGAUGUAACGGGGCUAAACCAUGCACCGAAGCUGCGGCAGCGACGCUGAUGCGUUGUUGGGUAGGGGAGCGUUCUGUAAGCCUGUGAAGGUGUGCUGUGAGGCAUGCUGGAGGUAUCAGAAGUGCGAAUGCUGACAUAAGUAACGAUAAAGCGGGUGAAAAGCCCGCUCGCCGGAAGACCAAGGGUUCCUGUCCAACGUUAAUCGGGGCAGGGUGAGUCGACCCCUAAGGCGAGGCCGAAAGGCGUAGUCGAUGGGAAACAGGUUAAUAUUCCUGUACUUGGUGUUACUGCGAAGGGGGGACGGAGAAGGCUAUGUUGGCCGGGCGACGGUUGUCCCGGUUUAAGCGUGUAGGCUGGUUUUCCAGGCAAAUCCGGAAAACUAAGGCUGAGGCGUGAUGACGAGGCACUACGGUGCUGAAGCAACAAAUGCCCUGCUUCCAGGAAAAGCCUCUAAGCAUCAGGUAACAUCAAAUCGUACCCCAAACCGACACAGGUGGUCAGGUAGAGAAUACCAAGGCGCUUGAGAGAACUCGGGUGAAGGAACUAGGCAAAAUGGUGCCGUAACUUCGGGAGAAGGCACGCUGAUAUGUAGGUGAAGUCCCUCGCGGAUGGAGCUGAAAUCAGUCGAAGAUACCAGCUGGCUGCAACUGUUUAUUAAAAACACAGCACUGUGCAAACACGAAAGUGGACGUAUACGGUGUGACGCCUGCCCGGUGCCGGAAGGUUAAUUGAUGGGGUCAGCGCAAGCGAAGCUCUUGAUCGAAGCCCCGGUAAACGGCGGCCGUAACUAUAACGGUCCUAAGGUAGCGAAAUUCCUUGUCGGGUAAGUUCCGACCUGCACGAAUGGCGUAAUGAUGGCCAGGCUGUCUCCACCCGAGACUCAGUGAAAUUGAACUCGCUGUGAAGAUGCAGUGUACCCGCGGCAAGACGGAAAGACCCCGUGAACCUUUACUAUAGCUUGACACUGAACAUUGAGCCUUGAUGUGUAGGAUAGGUGGGAGGCUUUGAAGUGUGGACGCCAGUCUGCAUGGAGCCGACCUUGAAAUACCACCCUUUAAUGUUUGAUGUUCUAACGUUGACCCGUAAUCCGGGUUGCGGACAGUGUCUGGUGGGUAGUUUGACUGGGGCGGUCUCCUCCUAAAGAGUAACGGAGGAGCACGAAGGUUGGCUAAUCCUGGUCGGACAUCAGGAGGUUAGUGCAAUGGCAUAAGCCAGCUUGACUGCGAGCGUGACGGCGCGAGCAGGUGCGAAAGCAGGUCAUAGUGAUCCGGUGGUUCUGAAUGGAAGGGCCAUCGCUCAACGGAUAAAAGGUACUCCGGGGAUAACAGGCUGAUACCGCCCAAGAGUUCAUAUCGACGGCGGUGUUUGGCACCUCGAUGUCGGCUCAUCACAUCCUGGGGCUGAAGUAGGUCCCAAGGGUAUGGCUGUUCGCCAUUUAAAGUGGUACGCGAGCUGGGUUUAGAACGUCGUGAGACAGUUCGGUCCCUAUCUGCCGUGGGCGCUGGAGAACUGAGGGGGGCUGCUCCUAGUACGAGAGGACCGGAGUGGACGCAUCACUGGUGUUCGGGUUGUCAUGCCAAUGGCACUGCCCGGUAGCUAAAUGCGGAAGAGAUAAGUGCUGAAAGCAUCUAAGCACGAAACUUGCCCCGAGAUGAGUUCUCCCUGACUCCUUGAGAGUCCUGAAGGAACGUUGAAGACGACGACGUUGAUAGGCCGGGUGUGUAAGCGCAGCGAUGCGUUGAGCUAACCGGUACUAAUGAACCGUGAGGCUUAACCUU
rnacentral:rRNA from 1 species